CACGACCUUUGCUUUAUAUUCUGUUAUUCACAGGACCUGAUCUAGAUGUCUACUCAAAUGACUUGGGAAAAGGGGACACGGUGGUCCAUACCAGAGAUGUCAAACAUGUGGCCCAUGGACCACAUGUAGCCCAACACUCUGUACUGUGGCCCAAAUCAGAUUAAAA